GGCAUGGUAGCCAAGUGAUAAGGUGUUUGUCUUGUAAAUUGAAGCUCAUGGGUUUGACCCCCAUCCAUGCUG